AAAACACGAACAAACUUUUUGG
rnacentral:miRNA from 8 species